GACGAACGCUGGCGGCGUGCCUAAUACAUGCAAGUUGAGCGCUGAAGGUUGGUACUUGUACCAACUGGAUGAGCAGCGAACGGGUGAGUAACGCGUGGGGAAUCUGCCUUUGAGCGGGGGACAACAUUUGGAAACGAAUGCUAAUACCGCAUAAAAACUUUAAACACAAGUUUUAAGUUUGAAAGAUGCAAUUGCAUCACUCAAAGAUGAUCCCGCGUUGUAUUAGCUAGUUGGUGAGGUAAAGGCUCACCAAGGCGAUGAUACUUAGCCGACCUGAGAGGGUGAUCGGCCACAUUGGGACUGAGACACGGCCCAAACUCCUACGGGAGGCAGCAGUAGGGAAUCUUCGGCAAUGGACGAAAGUCUGACCGAGCAACGCCGCGUGAGUGAAGAAGGUUUUCGGAUCGUAAAACUCUGUUGGUAGAGAAGAACGUUGGUGAGAGUGGAAAGCUCAUCAAGUGACGGUAACUACCCAGAAAGGGACGGCUAACUACGUG
rnacentral:rRNA from 1 species